UCCAAUAGAUUGAAUUAUUUUUAUUUUAUUUUAUUAUAUGAUAAAAAAUACAAAAACCGAUUCACAAGCAACUCAAUACUAAUAAAAAAAAUCAAUAAAAACCUAACAUUAAAAGAUAAAAUUAAAUAAAAAAUAAAACAUUAAAAAACCCAAUAUUAAAGGAUGGAGUUGAAAAAAAUCAAAAUAAAAAAAAACCUAUAAAAAAUCAAA
rnacentral:lncRNA from 1 species